UCACCAGAUUUUAUUGAUGAUGGCAUGGUUCCAUCUGGUUCUGGAGAUGCUUAUGGUGAUUGGGAAGACUCAGAUGAGGAGGACCCAUCCACCGAGGAAGAGUCUGACUCAGAAUAAUCAACUGCCAACAUAUUGAUAUUAGGUCGGGCGAAGGAGUGACAACUGGGGAUAGUGUUCUUAAAAAAACAAACGCAAUCCCAUCUCAACAUUAGGCGUUAACGAGGAGCAUGAACGGCCGAGGCGAGGUAGUGGGAGCUAGUGGCCGCGGUCGGCCCAGAGGCCGAGCAUUCCGUGGUAGAAGAUUGGUGCCUUAUUCAUGCCGAGCCCGGCGGCCUCGGGGUGCUCGGAUUAGUUCAUACCAUUCACCAGGAGACGUGGAUGAGGCCAGCUCAGAUGACUCUACCCAACCCCCAAGCCAUCCAUGGGAGCCACCGUGUGCGGCCACAACACUGGUGGCCGAGCCUGACAGUGUCACCUCACCUAUUAUAAGGCCGGAGCCUGAUAGAGUUCA